UUAAGCGACUAAGCGUACACGGUGGAUGCCCUGGCAGUCAGAGGCGAUGAAGGACGUGCUAAUCUGCGAUAAGCGUCGGUGAGGUGAUAUGAACCGUUAUAACCGGCGAUUUCCGAAUGGGGAAACCCAGUGUGUUUCGACACACUAUCAUUAACUGAAUCCAUAGGUUAAUGAGGCGAACCGGGGGAACUGAAACAUCUAAGUACCCCGAGGAAAAGAAAUCAACCGAGAUUCCCCCAGUAGCGGCGAGCGAACGGGGAGGAGCCCAGAGCCUGAAUCAGUGUGUGUGUUAGUGGAAGCGUCUGGAAAGGCGCGCGAUACAGGGUGACAGCCCCGUACACAAAAAUGCACAUAUUGUGAGCUCGAUGAGUAGGGCGGGACACGUGGUAUCCUGUCUGAAUAUGGGGGGACCAUCCUCCAAGGCUAAAUACUCCUGACUGACCGAUAGUGAACCAGUACCGUGAGGGAAAGGCGAAAAGAACCCCGGCGAGGGGAGUGAAAAAGAACCUGAAACCGUGUACGUACAAGCAGUGGGAGCCUCUUAAUGGGGUGACUGCGUACCUUUUGUAUAAUGGGUCAGCGACUUAUAUUCUGUAGCAAGGUUAACCGAAUAGGGGAGCCGAAGGGAAACCGAGUCUUAACUGGGCGUUAAGUUGCAGGGUAUAGACCCGAAACCCGGUGAUCUAGCCAUGGGCAGGUUGAAGGUUGGGUAACACUAACUGGAGGACCGAACCGACUAAUGUUGAAAAAUUAGCGGAUGACUUGUGGCUGGGGGUGAAAGGCCAAUCAAACCGGGAGAUAGCUGGUUCUCCCCGAAAGCUAUUUAGGUAGCGCCUCGUGAAUUCAUCUCCGGGGGUAGAGCACUGUUUCGGCAAGGGGGUCAUCCCGACUUACCAACCCGAUGCAAACUGCGAAUACCGGAGAAUGUUAUCACGGGAGACACACGGCGGGUGCUAACGUCCGUCGUGAAGAGGGAAACAACCCAGACCGCCAGCUAAGGUCCCAAAGUCAUGGUUAAGUGGGAAACGAUGUGGGAAGGCCCAGACAGCCAGGAUGUUGGCUUAGAAGCAGCCAUCAUUUAAAGAAAGCGUAAUAGCUCACUGGUCGAGUCGGCCUGCGCGGAAGAUGUAACGGGGCUAAACCAUGCACCGAAGCUGCGGCAGCGACACUAUGUGUUGUUGGGUAGGGGAGCGUUCUGUAAGCCUGUGAAGGUGGCCUGUGAGGGUUGCUGGAGGUAUCAGAAGUGCGAAUGCUGACAUAAGUAACGAUAAAGCGGGUGAAAAGCCCGCUCGCCGGAAGACCAAGGGUUCCUGUCCAACGUUAAUCGGGGCAGGGUGAGUCGACCCCUAAGGCGAGGCCGAAAGGCGUAGUCGAUGGGAAACAGGUUAAUAUUCCUGUACUUGGUGUUACUGCGAAGGGGGGACGGAGAAGGCUAUGUUGGCCGGGCGACGGUUGUCCCGGUUUAAGCGUGUAGGCUGGUUUUCCAGGCAAAUCCGGAAAACCAAGGCUGAGGCGUGAUGACGAGGCACUACGGUGCUGAAGCGACAAAUGCCCUGCUUCCAGGAAAAGCCUCUAAGCAUCAGGUAACAUCAAAUCGUACCCCAAACCGACACAGGUGGUCAGGUAGAGAAUACCAAGGCGCUUGAGAGAACUCGGGUGAAGGAACUAGGCAAAAUGGUGCCGUAACUUCGGGAGAAGGCACGCUGAUAUGUAGGUGAAGCGACUUGCUCGUGGAGCUGAAAUCAGUCGAAGAUACCAGCUGGCUGCAACUGUUUAUUAAAAACACAGCACUGUGCAAACACGAAAGUGGACGUAUACGGUGUGACGCCUGCCCGGUGCCGGAAGGUUAAUUGAUGGGGUUAGCGGCAACGCGAAGCUCUUGAUCGAAGCCCCGGUAAACGGCGGCCGUAACUAUAACGGUCCUAAGGUAGCGAAAUUCCUUGUCGGGUAAGUUCCGACCUGCACGAAUGGCGUAAUGAUGGCCAGGCUGUCUCCACCCGAGACUCAGUGAAAUUGAACUCGCUGUGAAGAUGCAGUGUACCCGCGGCAAGACGGAAAGACCCCGUGAACCUUUACUAUAGCUUGACACUGAACAUUGAGCCUUGAUGUGUAGGAUAGGUGGGAGGCUUUGAAGUGUGGACGCCAGUCUGCAUGGAGCCGGCCUUGAAAUACCACCCUUUAAUGUUUGAUGUUCUAACGUGGGCCCCUUACCGGGGUUGCGGACAGUGUCUGGUGGGUAGUUUGACUGGGGCGGUCUCCUCCUAAAGAGUAACGGAGGAGCACGAAGGUUGGCUAAUCCUGGUCGGACAUCAGGAGGUUAGUGCAAUGGCAUAAGCCAGCUUGACUGCGAGCGUGACGGCGCGAGCAGGUGCGAAAGCAGGUCAUAGUGAUCCGGUGGUUCUGAAUGGAAGGGCCAUCGCUCAACGGAUAAAAGGUACUCCGGGGAUAACAGGCUGAUACCGCCCAAGAGUUCAUAUCGACGGCGGUGUUUGGCACCUCGAUGUCGGCUCAUCACAUCCUGGGGCUGAAGUAGGUCCCAAGGGUAUGGCUGUUCGCCAUUUAAAGUGGUACGCGAGCUGGGUUUAGAACGUCGUGAGACAGUUCGGUCCCUAUCUGCCGUGGGCGCUGGAGAACUGAGGGGGGCUGCUCCUAGUACGAGAGGACCGGAGUGGACGCAUCACUGGUGUUCGGGUUGUCAUGCCAAUGGCACUGCCCGGUAGCUAAAUGCGGAAGAGAUAAGUGCUGAAAGCAUCUAAGCACGAAACUUGCCCCGAGAUGAGUUCUCCCUGACCCUUUAAGGGUCCUGAAGGAACGUUGAAGACGACGACGUUGAUAGGCCGGGUGUGUAAGCGCAGCGAUGCGUUGAGCUAACCGGUACUAAUGAACCGUGAGGCUUAACCUU
rnacentral:rRNA from 1 species